rnacentral:rRNA from 1 species
UACGUAGGGGGCGAGCGUUGUCCGGAUUUAUUGGGCGUAAAGAGCGUGUAGGCGGUUCGGUAAGUCUGUCGUGAAAUCCUGAGGCUCAACCUCGGACGUGCGAUGGAUACUGCCGGGCUAGAGGAUGGUAGAGGCGAGUGGAAUUCCCGGUGUAGCGGUGAAAUGCGCAGAUAUCGGGAGGAGCACCAGUAGCGAAGGCGGCUCGCUGGGCCAUUCCUGACGCUGAGACGCGAAAGCUAGGGGAGCGAACAGG